ACUGGGAGUGGUGGCGCAUGCCUAUAAUCCCAGCAGCUUUGGAGGCUGAGGCAGGAGGAUCCAGAGUUCAUAGCCAGCCUCAUCAAUGGCGAGGCACUAAGAAACUCAGUGAGAUCCUGUCUCUA
rnacentral:sRNA from 1 species